AACGUAGGUGGCAAGCGUUAUCCGGAAUUACUGGGCGUAAAGGGUGUGCAGGCGGGGAUACAAGUGGGUGUAUGAAAUCUCCCAGCUUAACUGGGAGCGGUUAUGCCAGACGUGUAUUUCUAGAGGACGAGAGAGGGGGGUGGAAUUCCGGGUGUAGUGGUGGAAAUGCGUAGAGAUCCGGAGGAACCCCAGAGGCGAAGGCGGCCCCCUGG
rnacentral:rRNA from 1 species